UUCUUUUGUCUUCUCUUUAUAUUGAAUCUUCCACAAUCUGUUUCUUUUAUGUAGUUAUGAUUUAGGGAAAUGUCGGAGGCCAAGAGACGAGUGCUUCUGCUGACGGAUAACGUCUUCAUUCCUGUCAAUGCGGCGCCGCUUCUGCGAGCGAUUCGAGUCUGGGAUUGGAUUUGAUCGCUCGAGACGACGUGUACGUCAUAGUUGCCUCUUUCUUUCUUUCUUUCUUUCUUUCUUUCUUUGUUGGAAUUGACUUCUUUCCUCGCGGCAAGGCACUUGUCCGGAACUUCUAUUCAGUGAUCCAUAUGGUUUACAAUUGAAGCAGCUGCAGACGCAUUAGUCGCCGGAGUUAUCUUUUGGCAUCUAAAAAGUGAUCUUGCGACUACUUGUGCAAUUAUAAUUAAUUAGGGUAAAUGGUUGGUUAAGGGGGAAAGUUGCCCAUUGAGUCUGGAUCACUGGAUGUAACUGUGUCAGUCUCCAAGUCACUUGAAUUUGUUGAUGAGGAAUGGGUUGAGGAGAUCUCUAGAGUGCUUAAAACUUGAUGGAACUGUUUGAUUUCAGACUUCUUAUGUAAGAAGUCAUAGAUCAGCCACCCAAGAAGAGAGAAGUCAAAGUUACUCAAUUGCAGCAGCCUUUGAUCACAAAACAUCUCAUGCAGGAAAUGUUAAAGAGUAAUAGAGUUGUUAAUACAUGUUCUCUUCUGAAAAGCUUCAGCUCUCUUAACCACGCUGGGUGUAUGGCAUAAGGAUUCAAUGGCUGUUAUCAGGCUAACCAUUCAAAAGCUUGUUUGAAAGGUAGCGCACCACUGAAGGCGAGGCCGUAGGCAGCGACGACGCAGGUCUGGAUGACGGUGUUCUCUUGGCGGGUGAAGGGGACGCGGAGGACGCCGGCUUGCUCCAACGCCUUGGUCCACACCUUGACGAAGAAGAAUCCGAGGAGGCCGGAGGCGACGUUGAGCGAAGGGAUGAUCCCCGUCGUCAGGUUCAGCUUCAUCACAAUCACGCUCAGCAUCACCGACAGCCCCAAGCUCACCACCAGGGCACGGACUGUCACCUGCUCCCGCCAUGCCGGCACCCUCACCCCAUCGAAAACCCGCUCCACGGACGGCGCCGGAGCGCCUUCCUCCUCUUCCUGCUUCAGCUCCAUGUCAGUCUUCUCCAUCUCCUUUCAACGGCUUGUACCGGCAAUAGAGCAGCAAAGCAGCGCGCCGUUAUUUAUUGAGCAAUUUCAUCAAAUUAAUUGAUUGUUCUUUUUAUUCUUUAAUAUAAUAUUUGUAAUAAUUUACAAUAAUAUAGAGAAACUGAGAGAGGAGAUAUUUCAAUAGAAUUUUAAUUAGCUAUAGCUUAAA